rnacentral:lncRNA from 1 species
AUGGAGGGAGAGAGUGAGGCUUGUGGGCCUGGCUGGCACAGGGGCCCUGGUUCCGGCUCACACUCCCGGGGCGGCAGACGGUCGCUGGCAGCGAGUGAAGGCCCCAUUUGUGUGCUAUGUCAGCUGGGAGGGAAGGCCUUUUAAGGGGUGAGAUCGUGUGGCCCGAUAGCGGGCCGGGGCCUCUCCCUGGGGGGGGACCAGGCCCCCUGUGAGGACUGUCGGCCAUUGUUAACUGCGCUGCAUAUGAAGGAAAACGGGACACAGGCAGUCAGCUGAUACCUGUGCGAUCUGGCCACCGGGGUACUCAGCUCCAGUGCCUGCAGCUCCAGUUACACGGCCUGCCGGGCAAGGGGGGUGCACCCACCCUGGGAAGGGCCCACGGUCUGGCUGAUGUGCCUCCAUCCGCCGCAUGCCCAGGACAGGCGACAGGGAGCCAGCCAGCGGAUCGAGAAGCAAUCCUGUGAGAAAGGCGACUCUUAUCUCCACCUUACAGAAGAGAAAACUGAGGCUCAGAGGGGUAAAGGCCCUGCUCUAGAUGAAGCCCACCAGCCUGGUCCUUCUGUCAAGGGUCCCCUACAGCACCCUGUGCAGGCCUGGUACCUACUGGGCACUGGUGAUGGAGCCGGCUGUGAACUGGGAGCAGAGCUGAGGCCCCAGGUGAGGAGCAGCAGAGAUGGGGGCUGCCUCUGGCCUUUCAUCUGGAGCCCACGCCCGGCCUUUCUCCUCCACUCCGCAGUGGGAGGCCCCAGGAGCACUCACCUGGAGCCAAACAGGCUGGUUCUGAGGCCCACCUGUGCCUGGAAGGUGGGGCCCACGCAGAGAGGACACUAA